rnacentral:rRNA from 1 species
GACGAACCGUGCGAACGUUGUUCGGAAUCACUGGGCUUAAAGGGCGCGUAGGCGGACCAGCAAGUCCGGGGUGAAAUCUUUCGGCUCAACCGGAAAAGUGCCUUGGAUACUGCUGGUCUCGAGGGAGGUAGGGGUUUGUGGAACUUCUGGUGGAGCGGUGAAAUGCGUUGAUAUCAGAAGGAACGCCGGUGGCGAAAGCGACGAACUGGACCUCUUCUGACGCUGAGGCGCGAAAGCUAGGGGAGCAAACGGG